AGAGUUUGAUCCUGGCUCAGAGCGAACGCUGGCGGCGUGCUUAACACAUGCAAGUCGAACGCGCAGCAUUCUGUAGCAAUACAGGGUGUGGGCGCGUGGCGAACGGGUGCGUAACACGUGGAUAACCUUCCUUCAGGUGGGGAAUAACCCAGUGAAAAUUGGGCUAAUACCGCAUAACAUGACGAUGGCACAUGCUGUUGUCUUCAAAGGCGCAAGUCGCCAGAAGAGGGAUCCGCGGCCGAUUAGCUUGUUGGCGAGGUAAUGGCUCACCAAGGCAUUGAUCGGUAGCCGGACUGAGAGGUUGACCGGCCACACUGGAACUGAGACACGGCCCAGACUCCUACGGGAGGCAGCAGUGGGGAAUCUUGCACAAUGGACGAAAGUCUGAUGCAGCAACGCCGCGUGGGGGAUGAAGCUUCUCGGAGUGUAAACCCCU
rnacentral:rRNA from 1 species